rnacentral:rRNA from 1 species
AAUGAACGUUGGCGGCAUGGAUUAGGCAUGCAAGUCGAGCGCGAAGUGUAGCAAUACACGGAGAGCGGCGAAAGGGAGAGUAAUAGAUAGAUAGCUGCCCUCGGGCCUGGGAUAGCGGCGGGAAACUGCCGGUAAUACCAGAUAUUGUCUCCGGACCAAAGGUUUACCACCCGAGGAGGCGUCUGUUUCCUAUCAGCUUGUUGGCGGGGUAAUGGCCCACCAAGGCUACGACGGGUAUGGGGUGUGAGAGCAUGCCCCCACUCACUGGGACUGAGAUACUGCCCAGACACCUACGGGUGGCUGCAGUCGAGAAUCUUCGGCAAUGGGCGCAAGCCUGACCGAGCGAUGCCGCGUGCGGGAUGAAGGCCUUCGGUUGUAACCGCUGUCGUAGGGAGCAAGGGAACCGUUGAGCGAUACCUAGGAGGAAGGACGGG